CGUGUGUAUGUGUGUGUGUGUGUGUUUGGGGGUGAUGGUGAUUUUUAUGGAGAAGCAUGUACAAUGUGAAUGACCCCUCCUAAAAUUUUGGUAAAAAGUAAGUGAACCCCCCCUGCAUGUAAUGUACAAAAUCAAAGACUACCUCACCCCCUCCCAUAAUUUCUAAGCAUAUUUUUGUAAUAUUGAUAUGUACA